rnacentral:snoRNA from 1 species
UUUGAUGUGAUGAUCCUUUCCCCAAAUUACCGACUUUGAUUAUACUGUGCGAUUUUUCGAGUUCCGUCUCCUCGGAGAUGGGAUCUUAAGCCAGAUGUUCUGAUCGAA